rnacentral:rRNA from 1 species
GUCCACGCCGUAAACGAUGGAUACUAGCUGUUGGGGGCAACUUCAGUGGCUAAGCGAAAGUGAUAAGUAUCCCACCUGGGGAGUACGUUCGCAAGAAUUAAACUCAAAGGAAUUGACGGGGGCCCGCACAAGCGGUGGAGCAUGUGGUUUAAUUCGAUGAUACGCGAGGAACCUUACCAAGGCUUAAAUGUAGAUUGACCGAUUUGGAAACAGAUCUUUCGCAAGACAAUUUACAAGGUGCUGCAUUGUUGUCAU